ensembl:snRNA U6 U6 spliceosomal RNA
AUGCUCACUUUGGCAGCACAUAUACCAAAACUGGAGCAAUACAGAGAUUAGCAUGCCCCUGUGUAAGAUGACAUGCAAAUUUGUGAAGUGUUUCAUAUUCUU